AUUAGGCUAAUAUACAAACCAACGCAGGUUCACACUUGCAAACAUUGAUUAACUCUUUAGAUUACAGCUCACAGCGUACAGCGUAAUUAUUCCAAAUUUACAGUGUAAUUUUUUGCACUAAGUGAGAACGAGAACAAGUCGUACAUACCUUGUAAUUUUAAAAUAGAUACCUGUCAGUUAAAAAACUACCUACAGUACAAAUUCUUUUUAAGUUCCAAAUUUGUCACCCUCUUUAAUUGUUAACUUCCCAUCUUGUUCUCUUGUACCUACAUCAGUAUGUACUGUACUGGUGACUGGAUAUUACUAGUCAGCUGAUAGUCAAUAAGAUGAUGAUUAAUUAAGCCAGGAUGUGUACGAAUGAAAUACUGAUAGCUGUUCAGACCAAAAGCCAUCAUCACUGAUUACGGGGAUUAUAUGAUGUUGCAGGCUGGUUAUGAUGAGACCCACAGUAUAGUCAACUAUAAAUGCAAAAUUGAAUAAAUACCAAAAACUGCACCCAAAAAUGUACCCCUGCGAGGUACAUCUCACCAGGGGGAUACAGUGCACAGCGCUCUAAAGCCAUUUUGAAUUUCAAGUGUUGCUUUUCUUGCAUCUUUAUUUUCAUUUUGCUUUCUUACAAUGUUUACACUGUUUACAUUUUUUAGAAUGGUGUAAUGCCUUUGUUGAAUUUUACUGAAUGGAUAGUUAGGUCAGAAGAUAACAUGUAUUAUGUGAUGCUUUAAAUAAUAAAAACAUUAUACACAACUAUUAAAAAGAAGUCCUGUUCAUUUCAAAAGUUGAAGUUUAGUUUCAUGUUUACUGAAAUUAUUAACUUGACGUAAAAACAGUUUGUGCAGCAUAAUGUGGAGUUAUAAGGUAAAAUGGUAGAAUAAUCGGGACAAAAAUGGGAAGUAAUUGAUGAUAAGUACUUAGUCCAUCAAUAUGCCAAGUUUGUGUGGAGAGGUGUACCUGAAAAAUAAGUUUUAAAAACUACCAAAAGCCAUCAUCACUGAUUACGGGGAUUAUAUGAUGUUGCAGGCUGGUUAUGAUGAGACCCACAGUAUAGUCAACUAUAAAUGCAAAAUUGAAUAAAUACCAAAAACUGCACCCAAAAAUGUACCCCUGCGAGGUACAUCUCACCAGGGGGAUACAGUGCACAGCGCUCUAAAGCCAUUUUGAAUUUCAAGUGUUGCUUUUCUUGCAUCUUUAUUUUCAUUUUGCUUUCUUACAAUGUUUACACUGUUUACAUUUUUUAGAAUGGUGUAAUGCCUUUGUUGAAUUUUACUGAAUGGAUAGUUAGGUCAGAAGAUAACAUGUAUUAUGUGAUGCUUUAAAUAAUAAAAACAUUAUACACAACUAUUAAAAAGAAGUCCUGUUCAUUUCAAAAGUUGAAGUUUAGUUUCAUGUUUACUGAAAUUAUUAACUUGACGUAAAAACAGUUUGUGCAGCAUAAUGUGGCGUUAUAAGGUAAAAUGGUAGAAUAAUCGGGACAAAAAUGGGAAGUAAUUGAUGAUAAGUACUUAGUCCAUCAAUAUGCCAAGUUUGUGUGGAGAGGUGUACCUGAAAAAUAAGUUUUAAAAACUACCAAAAGCCAUCAUCACUGAUUACGGGGAUUAUAUGAUGUUGCAGGCUGGUUAUGAUGAGACCCACAGUAUAGUCAACUAUAAAUGCAAAAUUGAAUAAAUACCAAAAACUGCACCCAAAAAUGUACCCCUGCGAGGUACAUCUCACCAGGGGGAUACAGUGCACAGCGCUCUAAAGCCAUUUUGAAUUUCAAGUGUUGCUUUUCUUGCAUCUUUAUUUUCAUUUUGCUUUCUUACAAUGUUUACACUGUUUACAUUUUUUAGAAUGGUGUAAUGCCUUUGUUGAAUUUUACUGAAUGGAUAGUUAGGUCAGAAGAUAACAUGUAUUAUGUGAUGCUUUAAAUAAUAAAAACAUUAUACACAACUAUUAAAAAGAAGUCCUGUUCAUUUCAAAAGUUGAAGUUUAGUUUCAUGUUUACUGAAAUUAUUAACUUGACGUAAAAACAGUUUGUGCAGCAUAAUGUGGAGUUAUAAGGUAAAAUGGUAGAAUAAUCGGGACAAAAAUGGGAAGUAAUUGAUGAUAAGUACUUAGUCCAUCAAUAUGCCAAGUUUGUGUGGAGAGGUGUACCUGAAAAAUAAGUUUUAAAAACUGUAAGUAUUUUAAACACACACACCAAGUGAAACUGAGACGCUGCAUGUCAGUAGAUCUGCCCAUCUCUGUUUAAAAUCUACUCUGGGAAAAAAACAGACAGCAAAAGAAAUGAGGAACAAACUUACUGUCGUCUUUCUU